rnacentral:rRNA from 1 species
GCAGGCUUAACACAUGCAAGCUCGAACGCUCCGCAAGGAGAGUGGCAGACGGGUGAGUAACACGUGGGAAUCUACCCUUUACUACGGAAUAACGCAUGGAAACGUGUGCUAAUACCGUAUGUGUCCUUCGGGAGAAAGAUUUAUCGGUAAAGGAUGAGCCCGCGUUGGAUUAGCUAGUUGGUGGGGUAAAGGCCUACCAAGGCGACGAUCCAUAGCUGGUCUGAGAGGAUGAUCAGCCACAUUGGGACUGAGACACGGCCCAAACUCCUACGGGAGGCAGCAGUGGGGAAUAUUGGACAAUGGGCGCAAGCCUGAUCCAGCCAUGCCGCGUGAGUGAUGAAGGCCCUAGGGCUGUAAAGCUCUUUCACCGGAGAAGAUAAUGACGGUAUCCGGAGAAGAAGCCCCGGCUAACUUCGUGCCAGCAGCCGCGGUAAUACGAAGGGGGCUAGCGUUGUUCGGAUUUACUGGGCGUAAAGCGCACGUAGGCGGAUCGAUCAGUCAGGGGUGAAAUCCCAGAGCUCAACUCUGGAACUGCCUUUGAUACUGUCGAUCUGGAGUAUGGAAGAGGUGAGUGGAAUUCCGAGUGUAGAGGUGAAAUUCGUAGAUAUUCGGAGGAACACCAGUGGCGAAGGCGGCUCACUGGUCCAUUACUGACGCUGAGGUGCGAAAAGCGUGGGGAGCAAAACAGGAUUAGAUACCCUGGGUAGUCCACGCCGUAAACGAUGAAUGUUAGCCGUCGGGCAGUAUACUGGUUCGGUGGCGCAGCUAAACGCCAUUUAAAACAUUUCCGCCUGGGGAGUUACGGGUCGCCAAGAUUUA